GGGACUAGACCAAAACCUAAUAAAAGUUAACCAAGUGAUUUUAGAAUGUCCCUUGUUAACCUAUUGGGAUAAAACCCGAGUACGGGAAAAAGGUACAUAACAACUAAACAACAUAAAGGCAACAUAAACAUAAAUCAAAGUGCAUAGGAUAUGACAUGAAAAUAAAUUAUAUGUAACAUAUAAUUAUUUUACAUAUUAAUGGUUAAUAAUCCAACCACAAACAAAAUAAGUUAACGCACAACAAGUAUUGUUCAGGAAUGUUACACCCAAUUUUGUGGUUAUUUACUCGACAAUGAAUGUGACUGUUGCAUGAAACAAACACUGCAAUGUAAAAUAACAUUAAAGUAUUUUUAUUAAAAGAGUAUGAAAUAUUGUGUCUAAUAUAAAUAAGAAAAUGAGAAAAUAAUGUCGAAAAUUACUUACCGCCAUUGGUUACAUGGAGAUAUGUAUAAAGGAAGAUUAUCAGAGCAAAAAAAACUUUGAAAUGUGAGUCAUUGUUUUGAAAAAUUUUAAAGAGAUCGUUUUUGUAAAAUGAUAUGAACUUGGCGUGAUUUUGUGAUUUCAUGGAAUUGGCCUAGGAUACUUGUAUGCCUAAGAUACAAUGGAUUAACCAUUUUAUAAGUAAAAGUUUAUUGCUUGAAUUGACAUCAAUUAAAUAAAUUAAAGCUAUUGUUAAAUGGCUCUAAGGUAUAUCAGUGUGCCAAGUUUAUCCUUUAGCGCACUCAAUUAACCAGUUAAGCAUAAUAAAGAUCUCAAAUAAAAAAAAAUUAAGCCCAUAAAAAAUUUAGUAGAUUUUUUUAUUUUUUAGCCUAUCAUGAUAGAGAGGGGACAAAAUACCCAAAGAUAAAUAAUGGCAAGGUAAUUAAAAUCGGAUCGAACCAUCUGGUUUAACUAGUUGAACCGGGAACCGGACCUAUGUCUGGUCUGAAAUAAAAAGAAAACGGGUGUUGCAACGAACCGGGAAACCAGAUAAUAAAGAUUUGUUGUGCAUAAAAAUUAAAUAACAGUAAAUAAAUAUUGUUUGGAAAAGUUAUGGAGAGAGAUGAGACUAGGUCUUCCGAAUCAUUUGAUUUUCCUUAAUUGGUACACUACACCUACUUCUCAUGAAUAUUUUUUUAGUUUUAUGAUGAUUAACUAAAAUAGCCCUAAUCAAUCCCUUGACUUAGGACCCUCUUCUCAGAUUACAACCCCUAAAUCCUUAGGUGAUCUAAUAUUCUUUGAAGGUUUGAAGAAUGUUAACCUAAUAUCACAAAUACUUGAUUGAGGUGUAUUGUUUUGAAAAAUGUCAAAAAGAUUGUUUUUGUAAAAUGAUACGAACUUGGCGUGAUUUUGUGAUUUCUUGGAAUUGGCCUUGAAUACUUGUCUGCCUAAGCUACUAUGGAUUAACCAUUUUAUAAGUAAAAGUUUAUUGCUUUACCAACAUCAAUUAAAUAUAUUUUAACACUAAAGAGGUGAAAAAUUGUUUACUAUAUUAAAGUUAUUGUUAAAUGGCUCUAAGGUAUAUCAGUGUGCCAAGUUUAUCCUUUGGCGCACUCAAUUAACCAUUUAAGCAUAAUAAGGAUCUCAAAUAAAAAAUUUAAACCCGGCAAAAAUUUAGUAGAUUUUUUAUUUUUUAGCCUAUCAUGAUAGAGAGGGGACAAAAUACCCAAAUAUAAAUAAUGGCAAGGUAAUUAAAAUCGGAUCGAACCAUCUGGUUUGACUCGUUGAACUAGGAACCAGAACUAUGUCUGGUCUGAAAUACAAAGAAAACUGGUGUCGCAACGAACCGGGAAACCAGAUAAAAACUGGAUGAACCGGGAAAACCAGCGGGCUACACGGUUUGGCAGGUUGAACCGCAUUUUACAAUUUUUUUGAAAAAAAAUCUCAAACCAGAUUUGUUAUGCCAUAAGUCUGAACUAAGAAAAGUUAUGGUGGUUUUAUAGCAAGAAGACAUAAAUCUAAGUAGAAUAAAAAUAUAGAGGAGACCAUGAAAUGGAGAUCUUGGAGAAAAAACGAAAAGGAUAAUCAUAGUUGGUGGGUUGCGUUGCUGCUAUUUAGAAAUUAGGGUUAGUGUGACAUUUAUACUUAUAAUAACUGAUAGACUUUUAGAAGGUGUACUAAAACUAUUGAACUAAUACAAUUAAUGUUGUUUCCAUGAGAACAAUAUUAAUCUCAAGUAAACGAUAGCAUUAUGAAAUAGGAUGUGUAAAGUUAUUUAGUGCCUGAGACAGUAGAUUUGUUGUGCAUAAAAAUUAAAUAACAGAAAAUAAAGAUUGUUUGGAAAAGUUAUGGAGAGAGAUGAGACUAGGUCUUUCGAAUACUUUGAUUUCCCCUAAUUGAUACACUACACCUAUUUCUCAUGAAUAUUUCUCUAGUUUUACGAUGAUUAACUAAAAUAGCUCUAAUCAAUCCCUUGACUUAGGACCCUCUUCUCAGAUUACGAUCCCUAAUUCCUUAGGUGAUCUAAUAUACUUUAAAGGUUUGAAUAACGUUAACCUAAUAUCACAAAUACUUGAUUGAGGUGUAUUGUUUUGAAAAAUGUCAAAAAGAUCGUUUUUGUAAAAUGAUACGAACUUGGCGUGAUUUUGUGAUUUCUUGGAAUUGGCCUAGGAUACUUGUAUGCCUAAGCUACUAUGGAUUAACCAUUUUAUAAGUAAAAGUUUAUUUCUCUAUUGACAUCAAUUAAAUAUAUUUUAACACUAAAGAGGUGAAAAGUUGUUUAUUAAAUUAAAGUUAUUGUUAAAUGGCUCUAAGGUAUAAUAAUGUGUCAAGUUUAUCCUUUAGCGCACUCAAUUAACAAGUUAAGCAUAAUAAAGAUCUCAAAUAAAAAAAUUUAAGCCCGUCAAAAAUUUAGUAGAUUUUUUUUAUUUUUUAGCCUAUCAUGAUUGAGAGGGGACAAGAUACCCAAAUAUAAAUAAUGGCAAGGUAAUUAAAAUCGGAUCGGACCAUCUGGUUUGACUAGUUGAACCGGGAACUGGAACUAUGUCUGGUCUGAAAUACAAAGAAAAUUGGUGUCGCAACGAACCAGGAAACCAGAUGAACCGGGAAAACCGGCGGGCUACACAGUUUUGCAGGUUGAACUGCAUUUUUAAAAUUUUUUGAAAAAAUAACUCAAACCAGAUUUGUUAUGUCAUAAGUCUGAACUAAGAAAAGAUAUGGUGGUUUUAUAGCAAAAGGACAUAAAUCUAAGUAGAAUACAAAUACAGAUGAGACCCUGAAAUGGAGAUCUUGGAGAAAAAAUGAAAAGGAUAAUUGUAACGCCCUAUUUUAAUAUUUAUUUAUUUUAUUGAGUUUAGGUGUCUUUCCAUAAUUUAGUCGAUUUAUUCUGAUGGGUGAUAUUUUGUUAUGUUAUAUGUUGGUAUUUAUUAGUAUAAUAUAUAUGUUAUUUGGUGUAGAAAUAUAUAUAUAUUAUCUGGUGUAGAAAUAUAUAUGUUAUUUGGUGUAGAAAUAUAUAUAUUAUCUUGUGUAGAAAUAUAUAUGUUAUGUGGUGUAGAAAUAUUAUGUUAUUUGGUGUAGAAAUAUAUGUUAUCUGGUGUAGAAAUAUAUUUCUUAUUUGGUGUAGAAAUAUAUAUAUAUAUAUAUAUAUAUAUAUAUAUAUAUAUAUAUAUAUAUAUAUAUGAGGGCAAAUUUAGAAAUAAGAGAACAUAAGUAGGUUAAUGAUUUUUAUAAAAGGGCAGAUUUGGAAAUAAGAGAAAAUAAGUAGGUUAAUGAAAGUUAGAAUUAGAAAAUAAGGAU
rnacentral:lncRNA from 1 species